UUCCGGUUGAUCCUGCCGGACCCUACCGCUAUCGGGAUAGGACUAAGACAUGCGAGUUGAGCGUCUUGAACAACGGCGAGGCGCGGCGUACGGCUCAGUAACACGUGGCUAACCUACCCUUAGGACAGAGAUAAACCCGGGAAACUGGGGUUAAUAUCUGAUUGGUGAGGAAAUCUGGAAUGAUUCUUCGCCUAAAGGAUUUUGAUACCAUGUUUUUCAAAGUCGCCUAAGGAUGGGGCCGCGGUUGAUCAGGUUGUUGGUGAGGUAACGGCUCACCAAGCCGAUAAUCGAUAGGGGCCGUGAGAGCGGGAGCCCCGAGAUGGGUACUUAGACAACGACCCAGGCCUUACGAGGCGCAGCAGGCGCGGAACCUCCGCAAUACACGAAAGUGUGACGGGGUUACCCAAAGUGUUCAGUUUUGGACUGUGGUAGGUGAGUAAUGUUCCCUACUAGAAAGGAGAGGGCAAGGCUGGUGCCAGCCGCCGCGGUAAAACCAGCUCUUCAAGUGGUCGGGAUAAUUAUUGGGCUUAAAGUGUCCGUAGCCGGUUUAGUAAGUUCCUGGUAAAAUCGGGUAGCUUAACUAUCUAUAUGCUAGGAAUACUGCUAUACUAGAGGGCGGGAGAGGUCUGAGGUACUACAGGGGUAGGGGUGAAAUCUUAUAAUCCUUGUAGGACCACCAGUGGCGAAGGCGUCAGACUGGAACGCGCCUGACGGUGAGGGACGAAAGCCAGGGGAGCGAACCGGAUUAGAUACCCGGGUAGUCCUGGCCGUAAACGAUGCAUACUAUGUGAUGGUGUGGCCAUGAGCCGUAUCAGUGCCGUAGGGAAACCGUUAAGUGUGCCGCCUGGGAAGUACGGUCGCAAGGCUAUAACUUAAAUGAACUGGCGGGGGAGCACACAAGGAGUGAAGCCUGCGAUCAAUUGAUUCAACGCAGG
rnacentral:rRNA from 1 species